rnacentral:rRNA from 1 species
UUAGGUGCGUGUUCACCUGGUGCUCCACGUCGUGUACGCAUAUCGGACCACGCUGUUGCGGUUGCCUUUCAUGAAGAGACUUCGAGUCCCGCUAUCGACAUUAUUCUUAGUCCCGAGAACUCUCGUUCCGUCAGCUCCAACCCCGGGGGUCCUGCUCCCAAGAGCCCCCCUUCCAUCCAUUCCCGUCCCAAGAGCCCUACGGGGGGUGACAAACCCGGCCCAUCGACCAAGCCGCCUCCUAAUCAUCCACUCCCGAGAGCCGUUGCGGGAAUCGAUCCUACUACCCAAGGCGAAACUCUCAACUCGAGCCCCGACCCUAUGCAGCUUCUACUG